CUACGCUCCGCCCGUCAUGGUGCCGCCCUGCAGGGCGGAGAAUUGGGAAGCCGGUGAGAGACCGGCACUGCCCCCGCAACGGUAAGGGAGGGCGUCACGGCGAUAUGCCACUGGGCCGGGUUCGGUCUGGGAAGGUGCCGCGAUGCACGGGCCGCAAGCCCACCCCCCAAGUCCGGAAACCAGCCAGGACAAACGUCGAAUC
rnacentral:ncRNA from 2 species